CCCCCCGCGCUCUGCCCACCUGUCCCCCACCCGCACUCGCCUCCUCCUACCUGCCGGCCUCCGCGCCACUGGGAGGGGCCGAGGACCCCCUGCUCCCGGCCCGAGUCUGCCCCAGAGGCUGCUGGCCCCACCUGUUAGCUUCUUGGCAGGGCCUGCAGUGGCGGCGGCCGGCUAGCCAGGUCCGGACAGGAAGAGCGAACCUGGGAGAGAAGCUUGAUUCUGCCAUAACCUGGCUGUUGUGCUGCGCUCAUUACCUGCCACACAAGACUGGCGCAAGCAGAACCCGAAGGUGGGUGACGUGGCCCCGGGCAGCUGGAGCUGGCAGAGAGUGAACAAGACAAGAAAACCCAGGCCGAGGUCGGGACAGAGGACCACGGCUUCGAAAUCCAGCGUGCGUUUUGUGCUUAUGGCACAUCUCAAUUUGGGCCGGAUGCGUUUCAAGGGCUGGAUGGUCUUGACUGUUCUGGAGGCCGGAAGUUCAAGAUCAAGGUGUCGGCAGGGUUGGUUCCUUCUCCCCUUGGCUAGCAGAUGGGCGUCUUCUCCCUGGGUCCACAUGUCGUCUUCCCUCUGUGCAGGAGAGGAAACUGAGGCACAAAGCGGCUAAGCCACUUGCCUAAGGUCGCUGGUGGAGCUCCUUGAAGAGGGUUGAAGGGGAGUCUUCUGCUGAGUAUAGAGAAGGAACUGUACCUACGGCUUGGAGACAGAUGCAAAGCCUCAAGAGAGGAGGAGCUGCUUGCCUGGGGACGGGAUGUGGCUACCUAGUGGAGAAGGAAACUGAGGUUACCCUGGGGCCACCUCUCCUGACCCUUCUCUUGUUCUGGUCUCUGUUUGGCCCUAAAUCCUACCACAAAGAAAUCAGGUUUGUUCAGCCCUUUAGUGGUCACGUGUGCAAGUCAUGCUGCCCUGCACAAAGCACCCUGAGGGACAGCCCGCAAUCAGCCCGUCUCCCGCAUGAGGAAACCGGGGCUUAGAACCCAUAAGGGGUCCUUCAGACGGUGGCUGCUGGAUUUUUUAUUAAAGAGACUCUUUUAUGUCUCUGUGUGUUUUAUUUUGUCAAUAGGAGACUCAGGGUCCAAACUGGUGUUGGUGGGACCCCUCUGUAGAUCCCAGGAGGUCUGGGUAGCUUUGACGCUUAGCGAGAAGGACUUAGCUGUCUAAUUCGGCAGCUGUGCUGUCCAGUCCAGCAGCCACAGCCACAUGCGGCCACGGAGCACCUGAAAUGUGGCUCGUUCCAAGCGAGAUGUGCACUAAGUGUAAAACCAGGGCGUGCAAGGGCUGACCUAGUCACCUAGUCACUAACUAGCGGGGACCCAGGGAUCUCGCCCAGGUCUACUCCAGGUAGCUCUUUCUGGGGCUGCAGACGUGCCCCUGGGUUGGGAGCCUCAAUGCCUCUCUGUCUCCACCCAACUUCCCACCGGGACGGGGCUGCUCCCAGCCGCGGGAGCCCCGGCCGCCCUAGCACCUCCCGCAGCGAAGGAUCAGAGAACAGGGCCCUUGGCAUGGGGGCCAGGUGUCCUGGUUUACCCCUGGGAGGUGCGUGAAGCUGAGACUGGCCCUGGGACCCAGCGUGCCCCUGGAGUCCUGGGGCUGCCUACCGGAGUGCACAG